rnacentral:rRNA from 1 species
UACAGAGGUCUCAAGCGUUGUUCGGAUUCAUUGGGCGUAAAGGGUGCGUAGGUGGCGGGGUUAGUCAGGUGUGAAAUCUCGGGGCUCAACCCCCGAAACUGCACUUGAUACUGCCUUGCUAGAGUACUGGAGAGGAGAUUGGAAUUUACGGUGUAGCAGUGAAAUGCGUAGAUAUCGUAAGGAAGACCAGUGGCGAAGGCGAAUCUCUGGACAGUUACUGACACUGAGGCACGAAGGCCAGGGGAGCAAACGGG